UAGGGAAUCUUCCGCAAUGGGCGAAAGCCUGACGGAGCAACGCCGCGUGAGUGAUGAAGGUCUUCGGAUCGUAAAACUCUGUUAUUCGGGAAGAACAAAUGUGUAAGUAACUAUGCACGUCUUGACGGUACCUAAUCAGAACGCCACGGCUAACUACGUGCCAGCAGCCGCGGUAAUACGUAGGUGGCAAGCGUUAUCCGGAAUUAUUGGGCGUAAAGCGCGCUUAGGCGGUUUUUUACGUCAGAUGUGAAAGCCGACGGCUCAACCGUGGAGGGUAAUUGAAAACUGAAAAACUUGGGUGCAGAAGAGGAAAGUGGAAUUCAAUGUUUAGCGGUAAAAUGCGCAGAGAUAUGGAGGAACACCAGUGGCAAAGGCGACUUUCUGGUCUGUAACUGACGCGGAUGUGCGAAAGCGGGGGGAUCAAACAGG
rnacentral:rRNA from 1 species